CUUCAUAUUUUUAGAGCGGCUAAGGGCUUCAUGACUGACUAGUGUCCUCAGCAUCCACAACAAUGGCUUUCAUCACCCUCUUCAUCUACUCUCUGCUCCUCUACAUCCAAGACUCCAGGGCACAGGUGACUGUUACUCAACCUGCAGCCAAAUCGACCAGUGCAGGGGGCUCAGUCACCAUCAGCUGCAAACGCAGUGGAAGUUUUUCUGAGCCCUGUGGUAGCACACCAUGUAUCUCCUGGUACCAACAGCAGUCUGGAGAGAAACCCAAACUCCUCAUUUAUAGAGUGAGCAGCCUCCAGUCUGGUAUUCCAUCUCGGUUUAGUGGCGGUGGAUCUGGGAAUGACUUCAGUCUGACCAUCAGUGGAGUCCAGAGUGAAGAUGCAGGACAUUAUUACUGCAUGAGUGCUCAUCAUGAUAGCAGCAGCAAAUGGCAGUUCACACAGUGAUACGGACUCGUACAA